rnacentral:rRNA from 1 species
GUGGGGAAUAUUGGACAAUGGGCGAAAGCCUGAUCCAGCCAUGCCGCGUGUGUGAAGAAGGUCUUCGGAUUGUAAAGCACUUUAAGUUGGGAGGUAGGGCAGUAAGUUAAUACCUUGCUGUUUUGACGUUACCGACAGAAUAAGCACCGGCUAACUUCGUGCCAGCAGCCGCGGUAAUACGAAGGGUGCAAGCGUUAAUCGGAAUUACUGGGCGUAAAGCGCGCGUAGGUGGUUUUGUAAGUUGGAGGUGAAAUCCCCGGGCUCAACCUGGGAACUGCCUCGAAAACUGCAUGACUAGAGUACGGUAGAGGGUAGUGGAAUUUCCUGUGUAGCGGUGAAAUGCGUAGAUAUAGGAAGGAACACCAGUGGCGAAGGCGACUACCUGGACUGAUACCGACACUGAGGUGCGAAAGCGUGGGGAGCAAACAGGAUUAGAUACCCCAGUAGUCC